rnacentral:rRNA from 1 species
GAUGAACGCUGGCGGCGUGCCUAAUACAUGCAAGUCGAGCGAACAGAUGAGGAGCUUGCUCCUCUGACGUUAGCGGCGGAAGGGUGAGUAACACGUGGAUAACCUACCUAUAAGACUGGGAUAACUUCGGGAAACCGGAGCUAAUACCGGAUAAUAUAUUGAACCGCAUGGUUCAAUAGUGAAAGACGGUUUUGCUGUCAUUUAUAGAUGGAUCCGCGCCGCAUUAGCUAGUUGGUAAGGUAACGGCUUACCAAGGCAACACUUCUUAGCCGACCUGAGAGGGUGAUCGACCACACUGGAACUGAGACAGUGUCCAGACUCCUACGGGAUGCAUCAGUAUCGCAUCUUCCACAAUGGCCAAAAGCCUCACGCACCAACGCCCCGUGAGUGAUGAAGGUCUUCUGAUCGUAAAACUCUGUUAUUAGGGAAAAACCAAUCUGUAAGUAACUAUCCACGUCUUAACGGUACCUAAUCAGAAAGCCACGGCUAACUACGUG